rnacentral:rRNA from 1 species
UACGUAGGUGACAAGCGUUGUCCGGAUUUACUGGGCGUAAAGAGCGCGCAGGCGGUCGAUCAAGUCGCGUGUGAAAGCCCCCGGCUCAACUGGGGAGUGUCGUGCGAUACGGGCGGACUGGAGGCCAGUAGGGGGAUGCGGAAUUCCGGGUGUAGUGGUGGAAUGCGUAGAGAUCCGGAGGAACACCAGCGGCGAAGGCGGCAUCCUGGACUGGUCCUGACACUCAUGAGCGAAAGCGUGGGGAGCGAUCCGG